GACGAACGCUGGCGGCGUGCUUAACACAUGCAAGUCGAACGAUGAUGGAAGGCGCUUGCGUCUUUUUGAUUAGUGGCGAACGGGUGAGUAACACGUGAGUAACCUGCCCUUCACUCUGGGAUAAGCCUUGGAAACGGGGUCUAAUACUGGAUAUUACUUGAGCCUGCAUGGGUUCGGGUGGAAAGCUUUUGUGGUGGAGGAUGGGCUCGCGGCCUAUCAGCUUGUUGGUGAGGUGAUGGCUUACCAAGGCGACGACGGGUAGCCGGCCUGAGAGGGUGACCGGCCACACUGGGACUGAGACACGGCCCAGACUCCUACGGGAGGCAGCAGUGGGGAAUAUUGCACAAUGGGCGGAAGCCUGAUGCAGCGACGCCGCGUGAGGGAUGAAGGCC
rnacentral:rRNA from 1 species